rnacentral:rRNA from 1 species
AAUCAACGCUGGCGGCGUGCCUAACACAUGCAAGUCGAACGCGGUUACCCCGCAAGGGGUAACUGAGUGGCGAACGGGUGAGUAACACGUGGGUGACCUACCUUCGAGUGGGGGAUAACGUUCCGAAAGGAACGCUAAUACCGCAUAACAUCCUGCCUUUGAACAGGUGGAGAUCAAAGCUGGGGAUCGCAAGACCUGGCGCUUGAUGAGGGGCCCGCGUCCGAUUAGCUAGUUGGUGAGGUAACGGCCCACCAAGGCGACGAUCGGUAACCGGCCUGAGAGGGCGGACGGUCACACUGGGACUGAGACACGGCCCAGACUCCUACGGGAGGCAGCAGUGGGGAAUUGUUCGCAAUGGGCGCAAGCCUGACGACGCAACG